CCAAUAGCGUAUAUUAAAGUUGUUGCAGUUAAAAAGCUCGUAGUUGAACUUCGGGGUUUACUCAUUGGUCAGGCUUAAUUGUCUGUACUGGUGAGAUGAAUCUCUACCUUCUGAGGAACUUUCAUGUCAUUUAUUUGGUGUGAUUGGAAAUCAGGACUGUUACUUUGCAAAAAUUAGAGUGUUUAAAGCAGGCUAACGUCGGAAUACAUUAGCAUGGAAUAAUGAAAUAGGACGGACUGAUUCUAUUUCGUUGGUUUCUAGGAUCACCGUAAUGAUUAAUAGGGAUAGUUGGGGGCAUUAGUAUUCAAUUGUCAGAGGUGAAAUUCUUGGAUUUAUUGAAGACUAACUACUGCGAAAGCAUUUGCCAAGGAUGUUUUCAUUAAUCAAGAACGAAAGUUAGGGGAUCGAAGACGAUCAGAUACCGUCGUAGUCAUAACCAUAAACUACGCCGACUAGGGAUCGGACGAAGUUAAUUUUAUAAUGACGCGUUCGGCACCUUACG
rnacentral:rRNA from 1 species